UCGGGCAGACGCUGCCAACACAAACAGGACAAUUCCUCUACAAUUAGAGACGCUAAAUGCAGUUGACUUGGUGCCCCUCGCAGCUCGAUGUCUGCAAUUAAACCCGCUCUCAUCCCAGGGAACUGCCUGGCUGGAACUGAUUGCGCUCCAGCUCCGACUCGCGUUUUGAUUGCGCGUAUUACAUCCCGCUCGUGCAAACGCAUUCCAGCCCGAUCGCGUCGCUAACAAGUCCGAGUACAGCACGUGGCCGAGUUUGGUAUUUAGCAUUAUCACCGAGCGCACAGUUCACUCCGUCGUGUUCCAACUAAAGAGCUCCAGUCUCAAUUAGAAUAUUGUUUUUUUCAAUCACGACAGAAUCGAAAAUGAAAGAGGCCACAAUUUCAGAGAACAGCACAAAGGGCCAUGUGUACAGUCGAGGUUCUGACGGGUCUAUUGCAACAUCGCAGGACAUUUAUAUUUAUAGUUUUGACUGGGGAGAGGAAUUUAAUGGGGAUACAGUACCUUAAACAGAAUGUUUUGUAUCACCCCCCCCCCCCUUUUUUUAUACAAACAGUUUAAAUGUGACAGUGACACAUUAGCCCCUGAAAAAGAAAAAAAUAGAAUCAAUACAAUAAAAUAAAAAUAAAAAACAUUUAAAAGCAUACAAUCACAGGGAGUUCUACAGAAGCUGGAAGGGACUGCAGGGCCUGAGUCAUUCAGAUGUGGACUUGCUUUUGUGUUUUGGAUCAUUGUCUUGGUGCAUAACCCAAUUAUGAACCAGCUUCAGCUCACAGACAAAUGAUAGGACAUUCUCCUUAUGGAUUUUCUGGUAUAGAACAGAGUUCAUGGUUCCUUCAUUAAAGCGGUCUAUAGUUCUAUGGAUGUUCUUCUGGGAUCUUUUGUGACUUACUGGAGGAGUUAUCACUGUGCUCUUGGAGAAAUUUUUGCAGGAUGACCACACCUGGGAAGAUUCACCACUGUUCCAAGUGUUCUCCAUUUGGAGAUAAUGGCUCUCACCUUGGUUUAGUGGAGUCCCACAACCUUAGAAAUGGCUUUGUCACCCUUUCCAGCCUGAUAUAUUUCAACAACUUUUUUUCCUCAUCUCUUCUGGAAUUUCCUUUGACCUCGGCAUAAUGUGUGCAAAUAAACUUUGUGGUGACUACUUGACUGUGAUGCUUAGGUUCAAUAUGAGUGAGUUUUAGAUUCAACAGGCUGGCUCCAAUCAAGCCUGGCUGUGUUCAAUUAGAUGAAACUAUUUAUCAAUUCAAUUUGGUUAAUUGGUUGAUUUUUUUUACUUUACUCUUUCACAUUAGCGAUAUUUGAUCAUUUUCCCACAAAAUAAAUUACAUAAUAAUUUAAGAAA